GUUUAAUAUUCGUAAAGCUAUGGUAAACAAGACCAGAUAAAUAUUUUCUCCAAGAAGAUCUGAAAAACAGAACAAAACAGCUUUAUCUUGCCGUGGGAGCGGUUCUGGAGACCACGCAAAGUGAGGAUAGCAUCUCCGCCCCCCGGCUCCAUUCCGUACUCGCUUAGGGGCCUCCUCAUCCCCGGCCGCCACCUUCCUGAGGCGGAAGAAAGCUGCGGUAGCGCGCUGCUCGUCCAUCCAUUAAGUUUGACCUUUGCGAGCAGCCGUCGCUCGGAAGCCCGGAAGUGACCGGAACUGGCAACUUCGUCGCUCCCACCCGACGUGGUGACCCGCCUACCGUUUCUUUUCGCCGUUUCCGAACCGAGGGAUCGCUACUCGCCUUUGGCUUGGCGGUCACUGUGCUCGGGGGUCCGAAAACUGCCGGAAGGAGCCCGGUUUCUGGAGGGGAGCAGGCGGUAGCGAGUUUAGCGACGUGGAGCAGGCGCAGAACAGUCGGAGGUGCCUGAGUGGUUAUUAAAAAUGAUUUGAAGAGAUUUCCUGGGUGUGGAGUGUAACUUUCCAAAACCACCUUUUCCUUGAGCUUUAUUUGUUGCAGCAAUGUUUAGGAGAUUGACUUUUGCACAACUGCUUUUUGCCACUAUCCUUGGAAUUGCUGGAGGAGUAUAUAUUUUUCAACCAAUAUUUGAACAGUAUGCCAAAGAUCAGAAGGAAUUAAAAGAAAGGGUGCAGCUGAUACAAGAAUCAGAAGAGAAGAAAAGUUAAUACUACAUGGAGUUAGGCCGGGCGCAGUGGCUCACGCCUGUAAUCCCAGCACUUUGGGAGGCCGAGGAGGGUGGAUCACAAGGUCAGGAGUUCGAGACCAGCCUGACCAACAUGGUGAAACCCUGUCUCUACUAAAAAUACAAAAAUCAGCCAGGCUUGGUGGCGUGCGCCUGUAAUCCCAGCUCGGGAGGCUGAGGCAGGAGCAUCACUUGAACCUGGGAGGCGAAGGUGGCAGUGAGUCAAGAUCACGCUGCUGCACUCCAGCCUGGGUGACAGAGCGAGACUCCAUCUAAAAAAAAAAAAAAAAAAAAAAAAAAAAAUACCUCAUGGAGAUGAACCAUAAUAAUUGCUUAAAGUUCCAUUUAAUUAUGUUAACUCUAAAUAAUCUAGCAAAAACAUAGAUGUAUUUAAAAAUAAAUCAUGGAUAAUGAUUUUUUAACCU